rnacentral:misc_RNA from 1 species
AAACUGACAAAAGCGGAAAAAAGAAGACUCUGUGUUACAGUUCAUCAGAUGUAUCAUCCUCCACUUAGUAAUAUCUUUUCUUCCUCUUAUAUGGUGCCAUAGGAAUACGUAAUCCUUCGAGACCAAUCAAUCACAAUGUGAAUGAAAGGUAAAGAUGAAAAAGAAAGUAGGAAAACAUGAAAAACUUCACGAGGGAAGAGAAAAAUUGGGGUGGGGAAGGAAGGGUGGAGAUUAAUUUUGCUGUGAACAUAUUACUAGCACAAUGACCCAGCAUCAAUGGUCUGACUUGAAGAAGAAUUUCCUUUUUAUUUUCUUUUUCUCAAUUUUUCCACAUUUAUUCAUGAAAAAAAAAUUAGGACUAGACAUUAAGAGAAGCAAGUAGAGAGUUACCUGACGAAGAAAGGGAACCCCAAA